UUGCCUGUUUUCUUUUGUGCAAAGCAGCUGGAUAACUUACUGUACUGGUUUAUCCAAACAUCUAUCAGAAACAUACACAGUUCUUCCAUCAGAAUCUAUUUCUGCCAAAAUAAGGGCAUAGGCUAUUGAAACAUUAGAUAUAUCUGGAAAAUUGUAGUUGCCCCAAAGAGCUGCAAUGACGUGAUAACAGUCCCUGAAUGAAUUUGAGGAAAAAGGUAAGAAUUUUGCCAAAGUUCCAAUACAAGGUAAUGUCCUUCAGGGAGGGGCUGUUUUCCCUCCUAGUAGUUCUUGUCAAAAUAAUACAUCCAGCAUAUACAGACGGGAUAUUACUUUGGAGGUGUUGGAGUGUCUGUCUGCAGAGGGUUUGGUUUGGAUUUUAGUUUGCCUUUGUUACUGAAGAGAGGUUCCUUCUUGCUGAAAAUGUAUUUUGACAAAUUCAAUAUUCAUUUUCUUGCAACUGGAAACAGUUUUCAUGGAAAACUCAAAGUUGAAAUGAUUUAACUGAAGAUGAGAUAACAUUCGUAGGAGUCAUAGAUACAGACACUGCUGUUAGAAGGGACAUUUGGUGCAGGGGUGGAGAAGAAAGUGCAAGAACUAGUAAUAUUGCUUGCUGAGGAAAUGAACAUGCCAAAUCAUUCUUGGCUGUAAUGCUAUGCUGAAGUGUCCAUGUUGCUGAUGUUUUUGGGAGUCACUGAUCAUCUAACUUAAAACAUCCUCCACACUGUAUUUUUUUCUGGAAUGUAGUUUUAAAUUUAGGACAGGAUCUGUAGGGAGCAGCAGUGCCUUUUACUAGGGCAGCUGUUAAUGCCUGGAUGAAACACCAUUUUUCAUGUGGUAACAGGCCUAGGAUUAGUCUCAAGUUUCUGCAAUAUUGAAUGCCUCACUCUUUCUAGCUAGUUCAGUGGAGUUUUCUAAUCAGAGACUCAGGAUUUUUUUAAGUGUACAAGUCAUUUUCCUGUCCUCUUGUUGGAUUGAAGAGUAUUUUUUUUUAAGACAGACUUCAGAUAGACCUUUUUCCUCAUUACACUGAUCUACCAGCAUGCAAAUAGACAAUCAAGUAGAGGAAGAGAGUAUUUGGGCUUUAGAUAGCUGUAUUUUGGUGGGUGAGGAAGGUAGAGGAUGGUAUUUCAAUGUACAAGACAACUUUGGGGUAAUGGUUUUUCAUUUGCAACCUUACAGUGUGAUCUUUGUAAAGAAGUUGUGCUCUAAGAAUUAUUUAGUUGGCUUGACUUUGUGUAGCUCUCUCUUAUUACCACAUAAUUUAAUUUGUGCAUGUAGUAUUUCAGCACUACCAGCAAAAGUUAAAUUUGGCAAUAUUUCUCAGCCGGCAUCUAUUUAGUGCACUGGUGCAGAGACAAUGUAAAUGUGCAAGGAAUGGAUAGUGACUUCUGGAGCACAUCUUUAUGCUGCCUUCAUGUUGGUCACACCACCCAAAAUUGCAGGUUUAAUAUAAUAGCUAAGUCCAUAAGAGGCAGAGACAUUGUUGUGUUGGACUUCACUGUUUUCAACUGGGACAAUAGCAUCAGCAAUGCUUUUGUUAAUCCACCAUCUGCUGAAAGGCCAGCGACAAUUUCUGCCAGAGACCAAUGCCUGCCAAUACAAAUGGCUUCCCUAGCUCACCCUUCACGAGCUUCCCCCAGGUGGCAGUGAAGCUGAAAAGGGUGCUAGAGUUCCUGUUUGGCUACUGCUGUGGUUAAACAAUCUGUUCUGCUCAUAGUGCUGCAGAGUUUUGGAAUAAUUAAGUAUCUUGUUUAUGCUAAUACUUAUGCUAGGUUCCUUUGUGUAACAUAUGUUGCAAAUGCAGAGGAUUUUCACAUCUACAUGGUGUAGGCACAGACGUAGCUUGGACCAGCCAGCUUGAAUAAAGAUGGUAGGGAUAAGUUAAUGCAGCUGGCAUGCUACUUCAGAAACAGGUGCUGCAAGUUAAUCAAUUGGGCCCUGGGUGAUCUCAUGGGCAGAAGCAGCAUAUAAGGAGGUAGCUAGCAAAGGAAGGGUGGCUUCGAGUCAGCUCUGGUGGUUGUACUACGUUGCCCCUGUACGUCUCUGCACGUGCAUUACUUAGACCCUCUACGUAUUUGAGUGAUUAUUGCCUUCACAACAACAACAUUUGGUGACCCCGACGUGAUUCGCUGAAUCGGUUGGAUCAAGAACCCUCGGCAGAAAAGCACUUGGAUUUCUGCUGGAAAAGGCAAGUAAUCUGAGCAAACUGAUAUAAUGGGAAAAAUGCUAAGCAAAGAGGAAAGUCCUAUUGACACCCUCCAGCAUAUCCUUGCGGAAAAAGGAUUCAAUUAUGAAAGAGAGCCUUUGCUAAGGCUUGUAAGAUGGGGACAGGAAGUAGGUCUCUUUGCUUCCCCCCAAGAAGUAUAUGAAAAAGGACACUGGGAAAAGCUAGGAGACAUGUUGAAUAAUGCUAUUGGCUUGUGUAAAUUGGUAUCAUCCAUUAUACACCAGCUAGAAGCUGAGCGUGCUGCCGCUGCUGCCAUGAAAGCAGAAGCUGCUGCACCAUCUGCGUUCCCAGUGGAUGCUAAAAGAUUCUUUGGAGGUGGUGACUUUAUAGUGCCAUCGGCUCCACCUCUAGAAGAAAAUACUCAGAGAUUCUUCGGAGGGGAUAAUGUUGUAAUACCCUCGGCUCCACCUCUGGAAGAGGAGAGCAUGGAUGUGAGCCCACCUCCCCCAGAACCCCCUAGAGCACCGUUCCAGGAGCCGAAUACACACAUUGCUUCUCCUCCCCUCCCACCCACCCUUCACCAUCCUGCCCCAUCCCACCCUUCUGCUAUACCUGAAGGAGUACCUAACAGAGAACGGAAGGUACGUUUUACAAAUGAUAUGCCGUUGCCCCUGAGCUCAUCAAUCCCUGAGUGUAUCCCUCUGCCAUCAUCACCCCCAACUUCUAGUGAAGAUCAACAAAGACAAUUAUUAAAGGAAGAGUUAAUACAACACGGAGAAGAUAUGAAACACACUUUGGCCCAGCUGGAGGAACUGAUAGAAAAACCAAAAGCAACAGCUAAUCAACUGUUGGAACGAAUUAAUGAAUUAACCAAAACAAAGAUUAAAGUUUCAUCCCCACAGGUACUCAGAGAUCCUCGUCCAGAUGAUUAUGAUCCGGCUAAGAAAUGGAGAGGCCUCAUACGUGAUGCGGUAAUCGAAGGCGAAUUUAUUCCGCAAGCCUUUCCAGUAAUAACAGCACAAAGAAAACGACAAUGGGCACCUUUAGAUUGGAAAUUGGUAAGAGAAGGCCAGAAAGCAGUAAUGCAAUAUGGCUUGUCCAACCCAUACGUUCAGACAUUACUAGAUCAUAUUUUUGCCAGUGGGUUAAUGACUCCAUUUGACUGCCGGAAGCUUGCAGAAACUUUCCUGAAGCCCACUCAGGUAUUAUUAUGGGAGUCUGAAUGGGAAAAAAGAGUUGAUCUGACGGUGGUGGAAAACAUGGACUUACAACAGGGAGAUCCGCGGCGAGUUGUCACAGCAGACAUGAUGCUGGGUAAAGGAGCAUUCGCUGAUCCUCAGGUACAAGCCCGGCUGCAUGAAGCUAUCUUGCAGCAAACACAGACACUGGCACGUCAGGCAUUUAAGAUCGUUCCUGAUAUGGGGGUGCCAGUUCCCUCAUAUACAACUAUUAUUCAAAAACCUAAUGAGCCUUUCAUGACCUUCUUAGACCGCCUAAGAGCAGCUCUGGAUCAUAUACCAAACAUGUCGGCUGAAGUAAAGGCGGAAAUAGGAUUACACUUAGCAGUUGCUAACGCUAAUCAUGACUGCAAAAAGAUCCUGCAGGCUCUCCCGCGGACAGCAACUUUGGUCGACAUGAUAGAAGCCUGCUCUAGGGUAGGAUCGUCAGCACAUUUAGCUGAGGCAAUGGCAACAGCAUUGAAACCUUUAGUUCAAGCCCACAAAGGAGAUCGGAGGCCAAAGUGCUUUAACUGUGGAAAAAUAGGACACGUGAAAAAUCAAUGUCGGUCCAGACCAUUGGUAUGGACAAACAGCUCCGCCAGGCCAUCUGGGUCCAAUGGCAGAUUUCACGGUAAUUGUUACAGAUGUGGCAAGUUUGGCCAUAGAGCCACUGAGUGCCGCUCUCGAGUGGCCAGACAAACAAUGCAUAAGGGAAACGGGUUGACGAGCGCAAAAAGGGCGAGCGCGAUGACACAAAAACGCCCUUCAACACCAAGAGCUGCCUGGAUGGCCUCAGAUCAGCCACUGCAGGAAGCGCAGGAGUGGAUGUGGAAACAGCAGUAGAUGUAACCAUCCACAACACAGAGGGAAAGGCCUGGACCAGCAUCGCAUUCUACAAGAAGUGAACCGACAGUUAAGCAACUCCGGGUUGGUGAUCGCGCCAGAGAAGGUACAAAUGCACGCCUCUUGGAAAUAUUUAGACUCCAGCAUCUGAUGCAGUUGUAGAGAAAGAAGCAAAGUCUGAGUAACAUCUGGUACUAAGUGUUUAAUUGGUGGUCCUUACAACUUUCUUCUUGUACAAUUCAGAGGAAUAUUUUUAUCAACUAUUUUGUAAAUGCAGGUUUUUUAGUAGUUCUAGAAAACACAUUUUUAAGAAGGAGAGAAUCCCAACUCAGCCCAUUUUUUUACAUAUUUAGAUAAGUGUAAAUGCUUUUUUUAAAGUGGUAAAAUCAUGUACUGGUUGUCUGUUUUCUAUGAAACCAGAAAUUAAUGGCAUGUUACAUUAAGGAGAGAGCUUUGGAGCCUUAAUUAGGCUUCACGUCUCAUGGCCUGCAAGGGACAGUUUUUCUAUCCUAUUCAAUGAAGCAUAACACAGAUCAGACUUUGGAAUUCAUAAUGGUAUGUUGAGAACGUCUUAACAUUUUAGUUAUUUAUCUUUAACUGUGGUUGUACCAUCGGUAGAAUUGCUUAUCUAAUGAAACUGCUCCCUAGUGUUGGAUUUCUUGCUAAGUGAUGUAUAUCUGUGACAAAGUUAUUUUUGGUAGUUGCAGCUUUAUUUUUUCCAACAACUUUGUAGCUGUGAUGCAAAAGAUUGGAAACUUUUUAUUCUGUCUUUAAAUACUGACUGAAGUAAAAACUUCUGCUUGACACAUGAUACUUGUUAUGUCAGUAUUUGAGAUACUGGAACUUCACAUUGUUUUAAAGGAUAGCUUGUCUACAAAGAGCAAAUGAAAAAUAUUUGAAAUGGUCUUAGAAAAGAAACAGAAUUAUAGUUUUUAGAUUUUAAAAAAAGUUAAUAAAAACAGUUGUAAAAUUGUUGAUAGCAUCUGUGAUCACCAAACAAAAGCCAAAUAAACCUUGAUUAUGAAAGUA